UGGGGCGUAGUCAAGUGGUUAAGACACUGGGUUUUGGCUCCAGCAUUCGCAGGUUCGAAUCCUGCCGCCCCAGCCA
rnacentral:tRNA from 1 species